UACGUAGGGUGCGAGCGUUUAAUCGGAAUUACUGGGCGUAAAGCGUGCGCAGGCGGUUUUUUAAGACAGGCGUGAAAUCCCCGGGCUUAACCUGGGAACUGCGCUUGUGACUGGAAGGCUAGAGUACGGCAGAGGGGGGUGGAAUUCCACGUGUAGCAGUGAAAUGCGUAGAGAUGUGGAGGAACACCGAUGGCGAAGGCAGCCCCCUGGGCCGAUACUGACGCUCAUGCACGAAAGCGUGGGGAGCAAACAGG
rnacentral:rRNA from 1 species